CCCGACUGGCUCCACCACUGCUUCUGAAGUUUGAAAGCUUAGAAAUGAGCAUUCCAUCGCUGUGAUGGUGAAUGCUGAUUUCUAGUCUUUUGAUUAGAUCGUUCUUCAAAAAUUUGGGUAUGUGAUAGAAAGAUAGACUGAACGUUACUUUCACUGGUAACGGAUCAGGCUAAGGUAAAAUUUGUGAGUGACUCUUAAGAGUUUUGCGAAUUUUCGGCGAAUGUCGUCUUCACAGUAUAACCAGAUUGCUUGGGGUUAUAUGGUCAAGUGAAG
rnacentral:misc_RNA from 1 species